CCUCCUGAUUCCGACACACAUUUGUGUUGCAGGCCUCCCACACGCCAUCAACUAGUCCUCUGUAAUUCUGACAAACUGCUUGUAAACAACGAGGAGCCUUUUUCAUCUGGGACGCGUGAUUCAAACUACACGUCAAGCACAAGUUUCCGAGCAGCGACAACACGACUGCAUCACACGACACACCCCGAACACCAGACCCGCCCUACAGCCGUCCCCCCACCGCAGGCACUGUGGUCGCUGGGUCGUGUUUGUAUACCUGGCACUUCACCUGCGGCCGCCCCGAUCUCACCGCAUUGUCAUCUGAAGAAAAGAAGAGAAAGAAAUACUUCAUAGCAGCAAAGAGAUCUACUUCACGUCCCAGCACGUGUUCCGCUCGCUCAAACGAUUAAUCUACCAUUUGGCGAUACAAGGUUUCUUCACAGCCACUAACGGCGCUGGAAUGCCUGGUCCGGCUAAUUGCUCUUUUGAUGCAACGGGCCGUUUCCUAGGAAGAGAGAGGUCGGGGCAGAGGGGGAGGGUCCUGCGGUAGGAGGAGGAGGAGGAGGAGGAGGGUCUUUGGGUGACCAGACG